CUUGUGACGGCGUACCUUUUGUAUAAUGGGUCAUCGACUUGGUCUAUCCAGCAAGCUUAAGCCGUUAGGUGUAGGCGCAGCGAAAGCGAGUCUUAAUAGGGCGUCGAGUUGGAUGGAUCAGACCCGAAACCGAGUGAUCUAGGCAUGACCAGGCUGAAGGUAAGGUAACACUUACUGGAGGGCCGAACCCACACCUGUUGAAAAAGGUCGGGAUGAGUUGUGCCUAGGGGUGAAAGGCCAAUCAAACUCGGAGAUAGCUGGUUCUCUGCGAAAUCUAUUUAGGUAGAGCGUCAUCCGAAUACCCUCGGGGGUAGAGCACUGGAUGGGUAAUGGGGCCCCACAGGCUUACUGAUCCUAACCAAACUCCGAAUACCGGGGAGUACUGGAUGGCAGACACACUGCGGAUGCUAACGUCCGUAGUGGAGAGGGAAACAACCCUGACCUACAGCUAAGGCCCCCAAUUCAUGGCUAAGUGGGAAAGCAGGUGGGACGACCAAAACAACCAGGAGGUUGGCUUAGAAGCAGCCAUCCUUUAAAGAUAGCGUAACAGCUCACUGGUCUAAACAAGUUGUCCUGCGGCGAAGAUGUAACGGGGCUCAAGCCAUGAGCCGAAGCUUAGGAGUGCGUAAGCACUGGUAGCAGAGCGUAGUGUGACACAGGACUGAUCUUUACUAUCGCACGUCGGAGACGGGAGCGCAGGCAACUGUGCUCAAGUAGCCGGCAGGCGGUAGCACAAGAUCGAGUCCUUUCGAUGAAGCCGGGGCGUGAGCCAUCCGGUGGAGAGAUCACUAGUGAGAAUGAUGACAUGAGUAGCGACAAACAGGGUGAGAGACCCUGUCGCCGAAAGUCCAAGGGUUCCUGCUUAAAGCUAAUCUGAGCAGGGUAAGCCGACCCCUAAGGCGAGGCCGAAAGGCGUAGUCGAUGGGAACCAGGUUAAUAUUCCUGGGCCAGGAGGAUGUGACGGAUCGUGAAGGUUGUUCAGACUUAUCGGAUUGUCUGGGCCGCUGAUCGGUUCCUGGAAAUAGCACCUCCAUGAGAUCGUACCCUAAACCGACACAGGUGGACUGGUAGAGAAUACCAAGGCGCUUGAGAGAACGAUGUUGAAGGAACUCGGCAAAAUACCUCCGUAAGUUCGCGAGAAGGAGGCCCAGUUUCUACGCAAGUAUUGGCUGGGGGCACAAACCAGGGGGUGGCGACUGUUUACUAAAAACACAGGGCUCUGCGAAGUCGCAAGACGACGUAUAGGGUCUGACGCCUGCCCGGUGCCUGAAGGUUAAAAGGAGAGGUGAGAGCCUUGAAUUGAAGCCCAGGUAAACGGCGGCCGUAACUAUAACGGUCCUAAGGUAGCGAAAUUCCUUGUCGGGUAAGUUCCGACCUGCACGAAUGGCGUAACGACUUCCCCGCUGUCUCCAACAUCGACUCAGCGAAAUUGAAUUGCCUGUCAAGAUGCAGGCUUCCCGCGGUUAGACGGAAAGACCCCGUGCACCUUUACUACAGCUUCGCACUGGCAUCAGGAUUGUGAUGUGCAGGAUAGGUGGUAGGCUUCGAAGCAGGAACGCCAGUUUCUGUGGAGCCUCCCUUGAGAUACCACCCUUCGCACUCUUGAUGUCUAACCGCGGUCCGUUAUCCGGAUCCGGGACCCUGCGUGGCGGGUAGUUUGACUGGGGCGGUCGCCUCCUAAAGCGUAACGGAGGCGCGCGAAGGUUGGCUCAGAGCGGUCGGAAAUCGCUCGUUGAGUGCAAUGGCAGAAGCCAGCCUGACUGCAAGACUGACAAGUCGAGCAGAGUCGAAAGACGGCCAUAGUGAUCCGGUGGUCCCGAGUGGAAGGGCCAUCGCUCAACGGAUAAAAGGUACGCCGGGGAUAACAGGCUGAUACUGCCCAAGAGUCCAUAUCGACGGCAGUGUUUGGCACCUCGAUGUCGGCUCAUCUCAUCCUGGGGCUGGAGCAGGUCCCAAGGGUACGGCUGUUCGCCGUUUAAAGAGGUACGUGAGCUGGGUUUAGAACGUCGUGAGACAGUUCGGUCCCUAUCUGCCGUGGGUGUAGGAUACUUGAGAGGAGUUGCCCCUAGUACGAGAGGACCGGGGUGAACGAUCCACUGGUGGACCUGUUGUCGUGCCAACGGCAGUGCAGGGUAGCUAUGAUCGGACAGGAUAACCGCUGAAGGCAUCUAAGCGGGAAGCCCCCCUCAAAACAAGGUAUCCCUGAGGGCCGUGGUAGACCACCACGUCGAUAGGCCGGAGAUGUAAGCGCAGCAAUGCGUUCAGUUGACCGGUACUAAUUGCCCGACAGGCUUGAUU
rnacentral:rRNA from 1 species